UACGGGGGGGGCUAGCGUUGUUCGGAAUUACUGGGCGUAAAGCGUGCGCAGGCGGUGAUGUAAGACAGAUGUGAAAUCCCCGGGCUCAACCUGGGAACUGCAUUUGUGACUGCAUCGCUGGAGUACGGCAGAGGGGGAUGGAAUUCCGCGUGUAGCAGUGAAAUGCGUAGAUAUGCGGAGGAACACCGAUGGCGAAGGCAAUCCCCUGGGCCUGUACUGACGCUCAUGCACGAAAGCGUGGGGAGCAAGCAGG
rnacentral:rRNA from 1 species